UUGUGGUCCCUGGCAUCUAUUUCUCCAAUGAUAAGCUUCUCCAAGCUCGGAUUUUCGCCUAUUCCGAUACUCACCGAUAUCGCCUUGGACCAAACUACCUUCAACUCCCCGUUAAUGCUCCCAAGUGCGCUCAUCACAACAACCACCAUGAUGGUUUCAUGAAUUUCAUGCACAGGGAUGAAGAGGUAAUAAUCUUUAUUUUUCUGUUUGCUCAAUAACGGCGCUGAGAAUGAACGUGCCUCUAGCAUGACCUAAUAACAUGUUUUUAGCUGGUUGUACAGAGAUCUGAAUUAGCUAUAGUAGUCUAUUGAUGCAACGCUCAACUCAACUCAGUUUGUUUUUUGAAAAAAAGGAAGAACUAACGAUGUCAUUCAUCCAUGAUGCUGAUUCGCAGAUAAAUUAUUUUCCUUCGAAAUUUGAUCCCGUUCGCCAUGCAGAAAGGUACCCGAUACCGUCUCAAAUCGUGACUGGAAAGCGAGAAAGGGUAAGUUUAUGGAGUCUAUGCAUUUAUAUCAAAAACGACUCUUACAACAUGUUCGUGCCUCCAGGAUACCAAGUAAAAGAACGGGAAUUGUAUGCAUGGUAUUAUUAAAUCUAUUUUGUGUCGAUGAUUGAGGGGCGGGCUUGGUAAGGGCUAAAGCAGUUCAGACUCAGCAGAGAAUGCCAGAAGAAAUAAUUACACGCUUGCGAUAAAGGCCCGCCCGCAUAACAAUGGUUAUCUGUAGCAAGUCGAAAGAGGCAUUGCAGCAGUGGUGCUUCUGUUUGGACCUUAGAUAAAAUUGAUGUAAUUCAAUUUCUGGUGUGCCGUUGCGAUGGUUAUGGUGCUAUGAUCGUUGGCUUUUACAGACUAAGCUAAGAACUUACAAAUGAGGAAGGGAAUAAGUUAAAACUACAGAAGAGAAGUCAAUGUUUUCGUGGCUUGAAAAUGUAGCUCUCGGGGUUCGCCUUUGUUAAAUUAUUGAUCCAAUUUUCUAGAAACUUCAAGAUAAAUAUGAGCUAGAAAAUUCAAGAAAAACUCUAGAAGACUCUAUAGAAUUAUCUCUGAGAAUGGUAGAGAUAUUUGCCUUAAAAAAGCCUAUUUUUCUAGAAAAAAAAUUGUAAAAGAAACUCCUAGAAGAUGGGCUAGGUCGGUGGAGUGUCCCUAUAAAUAGGGAAGGAGGGGGGAGCGUAAAAAGGCAGAGCAAAAGGUAAGCUCCUUCCCUUCCUUUGUACUUUGUACUACAACUAAAUAAAAAAAAAGCUUUCUUUUGUUGUUCCCUUGUGUUCCCUUGCUGCAAAUUAUUUUCUUACCCAUAUUGUUCUUUCCUUAGCCCUCUUGAAAGUUCACACACAAAACACACUUUCACACACAUCAAACACACGCUUCCGCAGAUACCAACAGCCUUGGAUUAGAUAUCUGUGCUGCUAGUAUUCAUCUGUACGUGAACUUACUGGUUAUGCAGGUCAUUAUUGAGAAGGAGAACAACUUCAAGCAGGCAGGAGAGAGAUACCGAUCCUGGGCGCCGGACAGGUACCUUUUGACCACUGUCUCCUGAGCCGAUGUGCAAUUUACUUGGUCACUCAAUUGUCUUUCGACUUUGUCGCCAGGCAAGAGCGUUUCAUUAACCGCUGGAUCAAGGCAUUGUCUGAACCCCGCGUCACCCACGAGCAUCGCUCCAUCUGGAUCUCUUACUGGACUCAGGUGAGCUAUCACUAUUCGCCCGGUUUGCUUCCUUUCAUGGUACCGAAAUUUGUUUAUACUGAUGGACCAUGACGCAUCUUCACCGCAGGCUGACAAAUCGAUCGGCCAGAAGCUUGCUUCCAGCCUCAGCGCGCGACCGAGCAUGUGAAUGCCAAGACGGGGCGAUUCCGGCAUAAGUGGCACCUGGAUGCGGGAGCCGGAAGAAGCAUGAAAGCUAAGUGCCGGCAUAUCUGUUAGCUGUUGCUAUACUGUAAUACUAAGAGGGAUCUCAGAGUCGUUCUCUUUACCAAAGAUAUGUAAUUAUGCGCUAGUCGUGCAUUUAUAGAUAGCACUUGCACUUCAAAGGGGGCAUUUGUUUCUUUUCUCGUUCUAACUUUUGUCGACCUUCCUUUGUUGCUUUAUCCGUGCGAUCAAUUCAGGGUUUUUGGUCAUUUUAGAAUUGAUUUUAACUAUUUUUAUGCGUUAUUGAUGAAAAAAGGCGACUCGAUUUUUUAUCAUCCCUGACUAUAAUAAAAUCUCAUGAUUUGCAGCGAUAACUUGGUAUAUCUACUAUAUGACCAUUAACUAAAAUAUGUCUCUGGUUAAAUAUUUGGCGGGCUUGAGGAAUAGUUGAAGCCAUACCCGAUCGGAAAAAGAAGAUUUAUGUCUUGUAAGUAGACCUCUCAUUAGAAGUCAUAAAUCCAUUUCUUAACCCAUAUUUCAUGGGUUGUUAUAUGGGUUAGAUAUAUUUAAUAAAUGGAUCAUAAAAGAGUUUGGAAUGGUAAAACCUAAAACUAUAUGGGUGUUAGAUAGGUUCUUGACUGACUUAGACCCAACUCAUCUUUAUAACCCUCUCAUGCCCUCACUCUUGCUCUAUGCUCUCACCUCAGUUUGGUUAUGAGUUUUCCUAAAUUAGGUUAGGUAUUGAAGUAUUUUGGCGAUAUGGAUCGGGUCGUUGAAAUUAUAUCACAUGGAAAUUGGUCAAUUUGGGUUGGGUCAUUCUCGACUUGACCCAUCUGGCCGACAAAUAUUUUGACCGACUGCACAGUUAACUCUAGACAUUUUAUUUUGUUUUCUUAGGUCUGCAGUUUAUGUGCUAGUGUCUUGACUGCAUCGAUUGUUCAUUUUAUGUUUGUGUUUUGGUGAAGUCAAGAUGUUGGCUGAAUUGCUGUGUACUACUCCGAUGAAUCUAGGUUUUUGACACUUCUAUUUAAAGUACAACUCUGUAAAAUCUCUCUUUUGAGUUCUCCAGCAGCGUAUAACAGAAAGGAAACAGACUAUUUGAUCAUUUCCAUUUCUUGGGCAAUAAGCAGUUUGGAGAAAAUGAUCUUUUUCCUUUCCAGUGUGGUUCUUCGGCUGAACUUUAGUUUUUUUUUUAUUGUUUUUAUUGUUUUUAUUGUUACCAUUGAGAAACACUAUAGGCAUUCUUAGAAAAGCGUCAUCUUUCUCUAUUCAACAUAACAAACUUCUGCUUUUAAUGGUUAUGACAUGGGAAAUUGCUAGGCCAAGCAUUUUUUGUUGGAAAAUAAUCCAAAAAGAAAACACAAACUGUUUGUUGCAAUCAGAACAUGAAAGUAAAGAAGAUGAUAACAACUUUAUAAUUUCAUUUCCUUUACAAAUCUUGGAGAAGAAGAAAAUAAGAUAUAACAUAAAAUUGGAGGUGAGGUACGGAUAACCGAAUCUCCUUAAGGCGAUUAGUUCCUGCCAAAUGUGCCAUGCAGAUUCACAAACUAUGCCUUCCAAGAUACAACACCUCGAACCUGUUUGGAUUAGCAUUAUGCAAAUAGGACUCUGUCGAACCGUUCAAUUGAAUCGGCACACUCAAGAAACAUAAGAGUAGAAAAGUAUAUUAAAGUCUUUUUGGAAUGGAUUCAAAAAAACCAAAACCAAAAACCAAAAAACCCUUUAUGAAGCUCUAUGCUCAUAUCUAUUUAUAGAGCUUUUUAGUUCAUGUACUAAAGAGAUACAUGAAUUAAAUAGACGCGUGUAUCCACGAGAUUCAUGAAUAAAGAGAUACGUGAAUCUAAGAGAUUCAUGUAUCCAAAGAUACGUGAAUUCAAGAGAUUCAUGAACUCAAUAAAUACAUGAACUAAACGAUACAUGAAUCUAGGAAAUUCAUGAAUUCAAUAGAUACGUGAACAUAAAAGUAUAGGAAAUUCAUGAAUCCAAAAGGAGAUACGUGAACAGAAAAAAAAAAACGUAUCUUAAUUUAUUGGCUUCCGUUGAUCCAUUAACCAUAAUUCUAACCAUAAUUACAACAUUUUUUGCAUUCUUGCUGAUAUCAAACUCUGCUUUUUCAACUUUGAUUGCCCCCAAAAUAAAUAAAUAAAUAAACCCCGAUCCAAAUGCAAAAGUGUCAUGGCACAAGAGUGGCGUACAAGAUUUUGUUAUAGCUAACAUGUCUAUGGUCCACACAAACCUCUUGAGGCCUAGAUUGCUCGAGCUGACAAUGCAUAGAAAAAUAUGCUAGAAAAUGCAAUAGUUUUUAUUUGACAAUCCAGAGGUACAAUCAUGAACACUCAACUACCUAUCCUGCAAGUGAAUUGUUUGUAAUCAAUGAUAAGAGAAAGUGUGCAAAUGUGAUAGUAGUACGUGAGUCUUGGUAGAGUGAUCUAUUGGAAAUGUUGUACUUGUUAAUUUUAAUUUUUUUUGAAGAUUAUUAGUGGAUUCAAACCUUACUAUGGCGGUUAGUGUUGAAAGUGAAUGUAGUUUUUAGGAUAAAACCAAACCACUAUAUAUCUUGUUGCAAUAUGUUCAAUUUCCUCAUUAUUAGCUUUAUUAUUUUAUUAUCUUUAUCAUCCGUUCAUCAUCAGCACAUACGCCUAGGGCUGAGCGCGGUUCCCGAGUUACCCGGGAACCGGAACCGAACCGGAGGAGGGUCCGGUUCGGUUCCCGGUUCCAAGGGGGACCGGUUCCGGUUCCGGUUCCUUUUUUCUGGGAACCAGAACCAGAACUGGAACCGGUCCCGGAACCGGAACAGGAACCGGUCUCGGAACCGGAACCGGUUACUUAGGGCAGAAAAAGCUCGACCUUGGAUGUUCUAGUGACUUGUAUGUGAUGUUCUAGUUGAAGUUUGGCUUCGGCCUCUAAAUGAAAGUUGUAAAGGAUUUCUUGGAGUAUAACAUACUCAAAUUUGGGACAAAACAACAAGUAUAAGUGGGUGAAAUCAUUAUUCUUUGGAAAGACUGGAUCUGGAGAUUUUGGGACUAACCCUUGAUGAAUGCAUGGACUGUAAGGCAAUAUUUUUGUCGAAAUUUCACUUCGUUUUCUUAACAAAAGUUGUAAAUCACAUCCUGAGGUACAACAUAUAAAAAAUUUAGAGAAAAAAAAUAAGAAUAGGUAGGUGAAAUCGUGGUCCUUUGGAGAUGGUUAGAUCUGGAAUUACGAUACUACGAACAGGGAUUUUAACCGUCCAUAUUUAAUUAUCUAGGACGAAUUUGACUUCGAUGUUUUCAUGAAGUACCUACCUUAUGGUCUUGGCUAUCACAUAGUCGAAUUUCAUAAUUUGUUAAGGUCAUUUGGGUAUUUAAUCGGAAAUGUUUCUAAAACUGUGCAAUCUGAUGUGUUCGGAUCUUGUAAGUUGCAAUGCAUGGACUAUAUCAUUUUGUAUGAGGUUCUUUUGGAAAUGUGUUCUGCAUGAAAUAUCUCUCUUCAUUUCUUCCCUACAACAUAUUUAAAUUUCGUAAUUUUUGUAGUUCAUUUGCCUAUUUAACCAAAAAUGUUUCAAAAACUGUGCAAGUAGAGAAUAGGAAAAGUAAAUCGAUUUUAUCUUUUAAUCCAGAACGAAUUGGACUACAAUUUCUUCAUGAAACUUGUGCCUCUAGGUCUUAAAUACAACGUGUCCAAAUUUCAGAAUUUUCUGAGUUCAUUUAAGGGUUUAAUCAAAAUUGUUUUCAAAACUUGUACCUCUAGACAUUCUUGUUCUAGUGGUGUUUUAUUUCUACUUUCUAGUUUGCUAUUUGUUUUGAAAUUUCUAAUUAUAUUAUAUUAUCGUUGUGCAGUGCGAAGUUAAUGUAUCAAGAUAACAUGUCAAUGGAAAGUUACCGUGUAGUAUACGCAUACAUUAUAGUUUUUUUUUUUUGUAACGUGCGCAUACGUUAUAUUUUUUUUGGUAACGUGCGCAUAUGUUAUAGUUUUUUUUUAUAACGUACGCGUACGUUAUAGUUUUUUUUGGUAACGUGCGCGUACGUUAUAUUUUUUUUGGUAAUGUGCGCAUAUGUUAUAGUUUUUUUUUUUGUAACGUGCGCGUACGUUAUAGUUUUUUUUGGUAACGUGCGCGUAUGUUAUAGUUCAAAUCUGAAAAUAACAAAAAAAAAAAAAAAGUUGUUGGAACUUGGAACCGACCCUGGAACCUGUGACAAAGUAGGUUCCAGGUUCUUGGUUCUCACGGGUAGGUUCCAGGUUCCUCAUUUUGAGGAACCUGUACCCGAUGGUAGGUUCCAAGUUCCAGACGGAACCGAACCGGAACCUGGAACCGCUCACCCCUAGCCCGAUAUUUAUAAUAUAUUUCUACUGCUAUUUGAAGUUAAACUUGUCAUCUUCCACAAAAGCUUCAUAAUUCCCACACAAUCUAUUCACCCCAUCUAAGUUGGGUUGUUAGCUCCAACAUGUGUAAGAUUUAAUAAAGAAUGUCAAAAUUUAAAUUUGAAUUUAAAUACAAAAGACUUUUCAAAUAAAAAUUAUUGUUUUAUUGGUUGAAAAGGGAGAACAAAAGAGUUGGCAUGUUUGGUUUCCCAUCCAUAUGUCCUACUCUUUAGUUUUAUAUAAGGACAUGAAAUUUUGAGAUGCAAAAUUAUAUCUAAAAGAAAAUUAGUGUUAUUUGUGUAAAUAAAAAAAAUCAUUUUUCAACAAAUCAUUGUUUUUCCACUUUUUUUUCUUCUCUUCAUUUACCUCUCCCUCUCUCUCUCCUCCUCCACUCCCUCUCCCUUUUUGACUUCUCCGCUCCUCUCUCUCUCUCUCUCUCAUUACAUUUCAUCUUAUUAUUUCAUUUUCAAAUCUUUAUCUAAUCCUCCACCGACUCUUCUUUUUAAUUUCUAUCAUCCCUCUCAUCUUCUCUCACCCUCCCUCCCUCCCCUCUCAAUUAUUGCAUUUCUUGUGUUCUUUCUCUUUCUCGCUCUCUCUCUCUCCUCUCAAUUAUUACAAAUCCAGGAGCCAAGUUGCUCAUGAACAUUAUUGAUACUAAUCACCUCGAAGAGAAAAUUUCCAAUAAUAAAGUCAGAAAUAUCCAAAAAAUUAGCUUUGAUGAUUCCUCGAGGAAAGAUACCAACUCUUUGGUAAUGUUCUAUCAAUUCAUAGGCAAGAAGUACAUUUCUUGUGUUCUUUCUCUUUCUCUGUCUCUCCUCUCAAUUAUUACAAGCCAAGAACCAAGUUGCUCAUGGACAUUAACGACACUUAUCAACUCGAAGAGAAAAAUUUUCCUUGAUGGAAUCAGAAAUAUCCAAAAAAUCAGCUCUGAUCAUUCCUCUAGGAGAAAUACCAGCCCUCUGGUGUUUCUAUCAAUUCAUAGGCAAGACGUACAUUUCUUGCCUUCUUUCUCUUUCUCUCUCUUCUCUCAAUUAUUACAAGUCCGGGAGCCGAGUUGACAUCAAUGAUACGUGUCAGCUGAAAGAGAAAAUUUUCUCUAUUAAGGUCAGAAAUAUCCAAAAUAUCAUUCCUCUAGAAGAAAUACCAGCCCUUUGGCAAUUUUCUAUCAAAUCAGAGGCAAGAAGUGCAUUGUCAAGAGAAUCUUUCUUUGCUAGAACGACAUCAUACGUGGACUUAAUGUACUUGACAAAAUCUACACAGAUAAAAGAUAUUAAAGUAAGAAACUUCGAAUGUGACCAAAAUAAUGAAUUCACGUGAAAUUGACUUUGUGAAACUAAAAGACUUCUAGUCUUGACCUUAAAUUAACUUAUUGGAGCUCUCAUGACUGAAAUUGAAUCCAACAACUAGUCAAGUAAAAAAUCCAUUGCAUAGAAAGUUGACUAUUUCCAUGUAGAUUUCGAAGGAUUAUCCUCCAACAACGAUGACAGUGAGGAUGUGCUCCGUCGGUCCAAGAAUGACUCGCAAAGAAAAAGAACUCAAAAGGCUUGGGCACACGAAACCUAAUUAAAACAGCAUGAUAUUUUGCAAAAAGAGGAACUUGAGUGUCUAAGGAAAGAACUUACUUCGGUUAAAAAGAACAAAAUCUUCUUCAAACACUAAGUGUUUUCCUUAACGAAGAAAUUUCAAAGAAUUGUGAAUUUCUCUUUCUUUUAGAUGAAAGACUUUGACUUGUUGUGCUUAAUAUUUUAUAUCUUCAUUUUGUGCUUCGUUUCAUUCGGAGUUUAUUUAUCUUGAUGUGGCAAGUUUUAUAACUUUACAUAGUUGGUCAUGCGAGGAAUAUCAUUUAAGUUACAUUUGAUGGUUCGGAUUUCUGACCUAGAUAUGGAGAUUUUGCUAUAUCAUAUUCAGUGUUUGGUGUUUACAGCAAUAAAGUCGAAUAUAUUCAUAUCAUAUUAUAUGUAGUUGGGUAUAAAUGACAUAUCAAUAUAAAUGACCCAUAAAUUUUAUAAACAGAUAUAAUAAAAAUCUCUAACGACAAUUUUGUCUACUUUAAUUUUAUUUUCUUUCUUCCCCUUCCAUCAUUCUCUAUUAAAAUUUUAUUGAAUAGAAAACUACACUAAUAUACCUAAAAUACUAAAACACCUAAAAUAUGUAAUAAAUAUAUAUUUAUAUAUUGAAUUUAUAUUACAAGAUAGAAGUAAAUUUGAAUAUAUAAAUAAAAAUAAGAUUAAAUUGAAAACCAAAUUGUUAUUUUUUGUUAUUUUUAAUUUCUUAUAUUAGGAUUCAUAUAUUAUUUAUAAUGAAAUAUAAUUUUAAAUUUGUUAGUCUAAGAAAGUUGUUAUUUGAGAAACAUAACUUUCCUAUUAUGGAUAUUAGAAAUCCUAUCCACAUUUAUCUCACGUCCCUCAUGGAAUAAUUUUAUCCGGUCUAUAUCCCUCUUGUAUCCGAUUAUAUCCUAUCUUGAGUAGGUACCAAACGCAAGUUAAGAUAUAUAAAAAAAAAAAAAAAUUCAUAACUUGUAUUUUAUCCUAACCUCCAAACGCUACCUUAAGGAAUAGGAGUCUAAUGCAAUUCGAUGGAUUCUAAGAUGGGAUGAAUAGAAUAAGAAAGAUUGGUUGAUAUCUUGCUUUGGAAAGAAACAAUAAAUAUUAUGGGACAGCAACUCAAAGAUUUUAUACUCUCUAAUAUGUCAGGUGCUGCAAAGUGAAAAUAUUUUUUAAAGAAAAUAUUGUUGAAUUAUGCAUAUCAUUAGCAUGACAAACUUUUUAAAUACUUAUCAUGAUGAUACUGUGGAAAGAAUCCUUGGGCAUCUAGAGCGAUAUCAUAUUUUGAUUUCAACAAACGAAAGGAUCCAAGAAGGUGGGUACCAAAAAGAAAUGAGCUCAUUGUACGUGCUUGUGCAAAAUAAGCUUGAUUGCAAAUCUAUGCAAAUCUUUAAACUAUUUGAAAAUGAUCUCGAUUGAGGAUUUCUGAACAUGAGAGAUAUAUUCUAAACAUACACCUUGGACAAAAGAAUCAAAUUUUUAUAUUUAUCACCACAAGCCAACGUACGAAAAAUCCUAUUAGUUAAAUGAGUAAUUGAUAUCAAAAUCGAUUAAAUGCACGUAAUUCCCACUAUUUCUCUCUCUCUCUCUCAAUUUUUUGGGAUAAGUACAUUGGAAAUAUUAAAAAUUAUCACAAAAGUGAAAUUAAGUUUUAAAAUUUCAAAAAAAUGCAUUUAACUCUUAGAACUCGUCACAAAAGUGCAAUUCAAUCAUAAAAUUUAUCAAUUUUGUGCAAUCAUAUCUUAAAACUCACUUGUUAAAUUAUGUGAGAAUUAAUGGAAUGACUUAAUUACACAAACUUGAUACGUUUUAUUAAUAAAUUAUAUUUUAAAAAAAAUUAAGGUUUAAUUAUGUUUUCAUGAUAAAUUUUAAAAAUUUCAUUAAGUUUAUCAUUAAUUUUUGUUUUUCCAUUUUUGGCCUCCACCGACAAGGACAGACACUAUCCUCUCUUAUUUCUUUCUGUCGUCAUCUCUCCCUCUCUCUCUUUCAACUUGCGGGUCCGAGUCUGCCUCUCCUUAUUUGGCUCCUUUCCAACCCUCUCUUGUCAUCUCUCUCUCUCUGUCUCUCUCCCCUCUCAAUUAUUACAUUUCUUUGUCUUCUCUCUCUCCCUCUUCUCCCCUCUCAAUUAUUACAAAUCCACGAGACAAGUUGCUCAUGGUAUCAGCUUUUGUACAUUCUUAAUAUUCUUAUCCCCUCAAAAAGAAUAUCCCCUCUGAUGAUAUCAACUUUGCUCAUUCCUCUAGUAAAUAACACCACACAAGCCCUUUGGGUAAUUCCCCACCAAAUCUUAGGGCAAGAAGUACAUCAUCAGAUAUAAUUCUGCCUUCAGCAAACGCAGCAUUGCUUAUAAAAUUAGGUAAAAAAAACUGUUUCGAUCUAUUGGCUAAGACCUAGGGAUACACGGGACGGAAGUCUUACGUAUGGGAUACCGGAGACGAGUAUAUAUCGCCACUUACCUUCAAAGUACAUCAAAAAGGUUCGGCACCAUUAUGAUACAAUCGUAAAAUGACUAGUAUUUUAUUCGAAAUAUCUACCUUUUCUCAAAGAGCCGUGUAUGGAAAUAUUCCGAGAAACUUGGUCCAAUUAAUCAAACGAAAUAUGGAAGAUAAACCACGGAGACACAAAGUAGUUGAUCAACACGCACCCUCUUCAAUCUCGCCAUCCAUCAUCUUCAUCAGCCAAGUUGGACUCUAGUAGAUUAGCUUGAUCCGUCAUCUUAUAAAAUACUAAAGUUGCGUUCGUUUCACGAAAAAAUGAAUACUCUGAAAAGUAUAUUUCAAAAAAUGAUUACUUCUAUUACUUUCAAAAAUUAAUGAAUGAAGAAAAUUUUCAUCUUCCACAAAAGUAUUUAGAUAUAAAUUAUUGAAUUGACUAAUUAUUUUGAGAGAUAUAAAUGAUCAUUUUUAGAAAAAUGUUUUCCAGAUUAUUCAUUUUCCUUUGAACAAAUAAAGCCUAGAUAGGAUCACUAGAAAUUGCAUAUCCCUAAUUCUUAUUUCCUCUUGAUCACAUCUUAAUUCUUGUCCGAGAGACCGAAUCAUAUCAUCAACGUAUUCACAAUUCGAUGGUAAUCGAUUGCUGAGGUUCCAUUUGUUUUGCAUAAAAUUGAUGUUUUGGAAAACAUUUUUUCGAAAAAUAAUCAUUUGUAUCGUUUACAUGAAUAAAUGAAUAAAAAAUUAUUAUUAUCAUCCUUGAAAAUAUUUAGAUGAUUGUCGAUCAUGAGAAUAUUUUUUAUUAAUUAAUUAUUAUAAAUGAUAUAAAUAAUUACUUUAGUCUUGUUUUUUUGUCAUAGAAUAAUUAGAGCGUUAACCAAGAUAAGCAGGACUCUCUCCACAGUGAGAAUCAAAAGGUACGCAUUACACGACAAGUGAAAAUUUUAAAAAUCGUUUGUGUCGUUGUCCCCAUAGAAAAUAACCAUGGCCCCUCGAGUAGAACACCAAAAGGUCAUUGGGCACGCAGCCUAAUGAUACAAUUUAAAAAUCGUUUGUGUCGUUGUCCCUCAUCGAAAAUAAUCAUGUCCCCGUCAAAAAUUUUCAUCUUCUACUAAUAUAUUUAGAUAUAAAUUAUUGAAUUGGCUAAUUAUUUUAAGGGAUAUAGACGAUCAUUUUAAAAAAUAUAUUUUUAAAAUCAUCCAUUUUUUGUGGAACAAAUGAAGCCUAGAAAGGAUCACUAGAACUUGCAUAUCCCUAAUUCUUAUUUUCUCUUGAUCAUAUCUUAAUUCCUAUCUCGGAGACCGAAUCAUAUUCCAUUUGUUUAGCAUAAAAUGGAUGAUUCUGGUCAUUGAUUUUGCUUGUAGGAAUAAAUAAAUAAAAAUUAUUAUAAUCAUCCUCGAAAAUAUUUAUUAUCUAAAUAAUAAGAAUAUCUUUGAUUAAUUAAUCAUUUUAAGUCGUGAUAUAAAUGAUUAUUUUUAAAAAUACAUUAAAAAUAUUUAUUUUUUACGAAAUAAAUAGAGCGUCGUGCAAAAUGCACGCGAUAAGUUACAAUUUAAAAAUCGAUUGUGUCGUUGUCCCCGUCGAAAAUAAGCAUGGCCCCUCGAGCAGAACACCAGAAAAGUCACGGGGCACGCGGCCCAAUGGUAAGGGGAAUCGGGGAUGGGACGCCGGUGCGGCGCACUUCCGAGGUGGGACCCGGAAGAACAGUGGUGUGGCUAAGAUCGGGUCCGGGCCCGCCUGAGCUGGCUCCGAUAUUUUCGCUUCCCAAGCACCCCCCACACAUCCACACAUCCGUCCACCCACUUAUACGGGGCGCGGAUCGGGACAAGAGAUCUGGCCCUCACGUGGCGGGGCCCUACAAAGACAAUUCUUCACGUGCUCUGCUUUUUGCGGUGGUUGGGAGAUGGGAGGAGUCGCGAGCGGGGCCCGCGCUGGAUUUCCCCCGAUUACAAGGGAUAAGGAAUAAUACGGUGGGCCCCACACGCACGGCAUCACUUGAAUUAUCAACUUCGCUAAUCAAAUCUUUUUCUUUUUUAAAUCCGGUCUCGCCUUACGUGUGCGGGGCCGCGGUGGUUGCGUCGCCAAUCCGUAGUCUUUGGUCGUAGCACGUGUCGUCGUUUUGCUCCCCACUUUGGUUCGGCCGUCGCUAUUAUUUUUCCUUCCUUUUUCUUUGGGGGGGUUGUUUUCCUGUUCUGACGCCGUCUCCGACGGCGGCUUUCCCCGUUAGUCGCAUGAUUGCACUCGCCGCUUCCUCCCAGCAACUUCUUCGGAUUUAUUGUUAUAUCUUGCUCCACUAAAUAAAUCUUGCAAUUCGUACGACCUUUUAUAUUUUACAUGAAUUUAUAUUAAAUUAGUAUAAUCUAAAACAAAUUUACCCUCCAUUUAUUUUCAUUAAAUUUUAUUAUCAACAAACAUGACAGUUGAUAGAUUAUUGAUUUUAAAUUUUACCUCCAUAUUUAUCAUGGAUAUAUUAAUUUUAUGGAUUUUGUGAUAUCAAUUUAAUUUAAAGAAAUAUAUAUUUAUUAUAAAUAUAUCAAUUUUGGACUUUUCACGAUAUUAAUUCUUUUUAAAAUCUUGAAAAACUAGAAUUUUCACAAAACUUAGAUAUUAACACUUAUUUUCAUUUUUUUAUAAAAGGUUUUGAAGCUUUCGUGAGAGAAUCUUUCGUGAUUUUUCCCCCUUUUUCACAAUGUUACAGACGGAGCAUAAUUCCGUUGAAAAAGCUGGACCACGAUGUUUUGUCCCUUCCAAUCCACUGAGCCAGAGUUUAAUAAGAAAAGAUAUGGCAGUAUGAUUAUUAAAUUUGGCCACGUGAAGCGAAAAACAGAAGCGUUAGUUCUAUCUUCUCCACUCUUCUUGUAGUCCAACUUGCUCAGGAUCUCCAAGAAGAUGGAGAAAGUAGAGCUGGACGCCUUAUCUUCUACUCCGUGGGGUCAAAUUUAACAAUCACAUUGCCAUCUUUCUUCGUUGUAAAUUUUGGCUCAAUGUCUAGGUGCAGCUUUUCCAAAGAAGUCAUUUGGAACAACUAUAAGAGAAAAAGAAACAUAAUGCCUUUUUACAAAAUCUUAGGGCUGAGUGAUUUCGAGUUCCAUCCACAGUUCACCCGGAACCUAUCCAUCUAAACAAGUUUUCUAAUUUUUGAAACCUGAAACCUAACCUAUCACAAGUUUCAUAAGGUUUCACUUAUACUCUUAAUUUAAUGAUUAUAAUUAAACAUCUCUAAUGACUACUAUUCUCUACAAUAAGUCUCAGUCAUGAAUAACAUUGGAAAUGAAAACCCAAACUCAUAGUUUCAGAUUAUACAUUCAUUUAUUAAUGCCUUUCAGGUUCUUCGGAACUUACCCAAUUUAGAACCUAUUUUACAUAUCGUAAAAUUUAAAAGUUCUUAAGCUUCCAAUUCUACUCUGAAAUCAUAUUCACCAGCGUUACAAAAUGGUGCAAAAGAGACUAAAAUGCAAAUUAAAAAAAUUAAAAAAUUCAAAGCAAAGGUUUUCAUUUAUGACAAGGUGCAUUUUGUUAAUAUCAUACUGGGUAAGAAAGCUUUUAUUGAAGGUUUAUUUAAUUUUAUUUUUUGUCAAACAAUUGAAGCUUAAUAGCUAUGGAAAAAUUGUAGAAGCACUCCAUCGUAUUUCCAGGUAUAAUUAUCCAAAACAUGUCAUCUCGAACAUCAUUCUAAACGUUGACGUGUUAUCAUACUCCAUCAAUUUCAGCGUAAUUCAUGAUAAGAAAAGGACAAAUGCAGUUUGUAUCGUUGUGUAGUUUCAUGGUUUGUUAAAUUCAAGAGGUGUAUCGACAAGUGGGGAUAAAAUACAACAAACCUCCGAAAAAUUUCAAGCGGACGUCUCCAUCCGAAGGCUUGGAAAGAGUCCGACUAGCUCGAGUGGAGCAACGUCUCCAUCCAACUAAUCGAAGUCGCUAUCGAAGCAAGUUGUUCAAACGAAUUAUUCAAGAUAACGAUAAAGAGAGAGAGAUAUCAUAGUGAAGCGGAGGUAAAUUGAUGUUUUGAAAAGUCUCAUCAUCAUAGUAAUCAGGACGGAUUGAUUUCCGCCAAUCACGGCAUCCAUUCGUAAUUAGUAGUCAUAGAUCGGGAUAUAUUUGUUACGACAUUGUUAAUAGUCGUAGCUCGGAAAAUAUUAGUCAUGAUAAUGAAGAUAACGAUGGAGAGAGAUCUAAAUUAUAAUAUCUUCUCAAGCUUAGAAAAAAAGAAGUUUUUUAGAGAAAAUGUUGCUCUUUGCAUAAAAGGCAUCUAAAUAAGCAUUUUGUAAGAUGGGUCGAAAAUUAUCAAAUCAAAUUGACCUAAUCUAAUCCAUUUCCAUCUAUUCUCAUAUAAUAUGUAAUUAACAACUCAUACUCAAACUAAACCAUAUUGUUAAAGCACUUUCAUAUUUAAACUAAUUUAGAAAAAAUCCUUCCCAAACUGAGUGAAGAAGCGUGAGAUCUAAUGAAAAAAGAGCUAGCAAUAAGUGAGAAUUAAAUAAAUUAUGAACCCAUUUAAUACUCACAUUAUUUUGAAUUUUAUUAUUCUGAAUUUAUUUAUUAAAUAUAUUUAUUUCAUAUAAUAACUUAAAACUUCAGUAAAAAUCUAACUUUUUACGGAAUUAGAUAGAGAGUACAAGACGUCAAAUGGAGGCUUGAAAAGUCAUGAGACGAUGGUGAACUGGACGUACCGGCACCUGCCAACAGAAAUAAUAUAUAUAACUCGGAAACGGAGAGGCGAAGCAGUAGACGGGCACACUCCCACUUCUGUCUCGCCACCAUUACUAGCUUCAAAGCCCAGAUCUCAGUUUCGUGCUCUCUUCGUCAUCUCUGCCUCUUGCCAUGGAUCCGUACAAGGUACCGAUCGCUUCAUCUUCUCCGCUUCGACUGUCGAUCUUUCUUCCAUCUUCGCCAGCGGCAGAAAUUAUCUUUCCCUUUUUCGAUCUCCGAUCCGUUGAUCAUAUACUGUAUUUACGUUAAUGGAACCGAGAUCUCCCCAGUGCUUGUUUGUUUUCGCUUCAUUUCCUGUUUGGUAGAAGAAGAGCGCUCCCUGUUGGGACGUUCAUGAUGCUACGGCUCUGUUUCGUCGAUUUAUCUCAUCGCCGGCAUGCCGACUUUGCAAAAUGCUGAUGUGUUUUUGCUGCUAAACGUGGAUGUCGCAGUAUCGCCCGUCCAGCGCUUACGAUUCCAGCUUUUGGACAACCAACUACGGUGCUCCCGUCUGGAACAAUGACUCAUCGCUGACUGUUGGAACUAGAGGUAGUAUCGCCAUUACGGAUCUCUGAGUUGUUUUCUUUAUCGAAAAUAAUGAUAAUUCGAUGCUCAUCGUGCAUGCGUAGAUAGUGCUUGCACUCGAACCGGAAUAUUUUUACGUUGCCUUUCUGUUUUGCUUCAUGCGUGUGAUUAAUACGUGGUUUGUGGUUUUUUAUUCUUGAUAUAAUCAUUUGAGCACGUUCUUAUAAAAAAAAACGUGCACGAGGCUCUCGACUGCAUCAAUGGGUUCUUUUUAUUUUUGUGUUUUGGUGAGUUCGAGGUGUGUACACGCCUUCAACGAAUCUAAACUUUUAGGUUUUGUAACAGUUUAAGGGAAAAAGCCACCAAGAAGGGAAAACUAUGCCCACUAAGACAUAUUUAUUCACAAAAUAUUUUCUUGUGACACCAAAAAUCCAAAAUGUAAACAUGUAUGACAUAUUUACUUACACGGACUGUUAAAACUCUGACUACAUAGACUUCAAAAAGCAAACGGAGUCACCUAACUUAAGUGAAAUUAACUAAAACAUCAUAUGAUAGAACUUUGAUGGAAAGUAAAUGUAUCAUAUAUACACAAGUUCGAUAUUUUUAUGUCACAAGAAAAAGAUUAGAUAAAUAUAUAUAGUUUGAGAUUUUUCAUAUCACAAAAAAAAACUCGGGCUUAAUAUGUUGCAAUGGACAUAAAGGUUUUUAUAGUUUUUUUUCUCGAUAUUAAAGUAUAACUCUACAAUUUUUCACUUUUUGUGUUCUUCAGCAACUUGUGACAGGAAGGAAAAAUAUCGUAGUUCUCUUUUUUUGAUAAUCUAGAGGCAGGCACGAUUGUGGAAACUCGACCCCUAGGCCUUUUUGGGCCGUGAGGGGACCCUGACCCACAGCAGAAGAACCUUGUAGUGAUAUUAGCUGGUCGCAGGAGUAUCCUUUUUGGCUCUACUUGUGCUCUACGCGGACAUCGUAGUGAAGACACGGAGCUUAACCGUCAUCUAAAAGGAGAUUUCUUUCAUUUUACAGGUCCGAUUCUCCUGGAGGACUACCAUCUGAUUGAGAAACUUGCCAACUUCGAGAGAGAGAGGAUUCCUGAGCGAGUGGUCCAUGCACGGGGAGCCAGCGCGAAAGGGUUCUUCGAGGUCACCCACGACAUCUCUCACUUGACCUGUGCUGAUUUCCUCCGGGCUCCUGGAGUCCAGACGCCCGUCAUCGUCCGUUUCUCCACCGUCAUCCACGAGCGCGGCAGCCCCGAAACCCUCAGGGACCCUCGUGGUUUUGCAGUGAAGUUCUACACCAGAGAGGUAACGAGAUGAUCACAAGCCUUGAAAUCUGCAAAUUCCAUGUUCUUCGGCUUUUUUAUUAUUAUGAUUGCUUGGAACGUGUAUCUGUUUAACUGACUAUGCAGGCACUGUGCUUGGCUUUUGUGAUUCGGGCAGCGUCUUUGUGCGCGUAUGCUCUAAAGCCCGUGCCGAAUAGCCACGUGAUGAUGGAUUUUAUUUUGACACUUUGACAUGACUAGUUGACGAUAACCUUACCGGAGGGCUGUAAAACAAAGAGCUUAUUUUAAGGAAUAAUGUAACCUAGAUCGCUUACUUGAGUACCAUAAAUUUUUUUCUAAUCACCUAAAUAUCAUAAUUUUUAUAAAUAAAAAAAUAGUAUAUUAUGACUUUUUUUAUCACUUAAAGGCCAUUAUUUCUAUUAAACAAAAUGUUUAUUAUAGCAUCAUAAAUUUCAAUCAAUUACUUAAGUGCUAAAAUAUUUUUAAAACAUGUACUUAGAUGCCAAAGAUCUAACGUGGCAUUGCACUUAAGAUGAAUGUUUUAAAAAAUAUAAUGUCACUUAAGUGAUCGAAAAAAAAAAGUUAUAUCACUUAACUAGGCAUCAUAUGUAAAUAAUAGUAUUUAAGUGAUAAAAAAAAUUAUGAUUUUUAAGUAAACGCCACACAAAAUCACGGUACUUAUAAUGUUCUUCUUUUAUUUAAAAUAAAAGAGAAAGCUGAACAUCAUAAUACAAACAAGUAGUCUCUCCACAUAAUUGUAUUGUCUCACGUUUCUCUUCUUUUCUUUGAUAAUUUUUAUUUCGACACUUCGAUGUGACUAGUUGAAGAUGAAUUUUUAUCGAAGGGCUGUAAUAGAGAGGUCCAUUUCAAGUAAGAGAGAAGUCGAGACAUCAAAACAUGAGUAGUAUCUCUUCACGUAAUUGCGCUGUUUCGCGCUUCUCUUCUUUCCUCCUUUCACCAUUCGUUUUUUUUCUUCUGAACGCAGGGAAACUUUGAUCUGGUGGGGAACAAUUUCCCAGUCUUCUUCGUUCGCGAUGCAAUGAAAUUCCCGGACGCGAUCCAUGCGUUCAAGCCGAACCCGAAGUCUAACAUCCAGGAGAUGUGGAGAAUCAUCGAUUUCUUCUCCCACCAGCCCGAGAGUCUGUCCACGUUCGCGUGGUUCUUCGAUGAUGUGGGCAUUCCUCAGGACUACAGGCACAUGGAGGGAUUCGGUGUGCACGCUUUCACCUUCAUCAACAAGACCGGAAAGACGAAUUACGUGAAAUUCCACUGGAAGCCAACUUGCGGGGUGAAGUGCUUGCUGGAGGAGGAGGCGAUCCGCAUUGGAGGAUCGAACCACAGCCAUGCGACCAAGGAUCUUUAUGACUCGAUCGCUGCUGGCAACUACCCGGAGUGGAAGCUCUACAUCCAAGUGAUGGAUCCUGCUCUUGAAGACAGCUUCGACUUCGAUCCGCUGGAUAUGACGAAGGAAUGGCCUGAGGACAUCUUGCCUCUGCAACCAGUAGGCCGCUUGGUGCUGAACAAAAACGUCGAUAACUUCUUCGCUGAGAAUGAGCAGCUAGCGUUUAACCCAGCAUUUGUGGUCCCUGGCAUCUAUUACUCCAAUGAUAAGCUUCUCCAAGCUAGGAUUUUCGCCUAUUCUGAUACUCACCGAUAUCGCCUUGGACCAAACUACCUUCAACUCCCCGUUAAUGCUCCCAAGUGCGCUCAUCACAACAACCACCAUGAUGGUUUCAUGAAUAUCAUGCACAGGGAUGAAGAGGUAAUGAUCUUUAUUUUUCUGUUUGCUCGAUAACGGCGCUGAGAAUGAACGUGCCUCUAGCAUUACCUAAUAACAUGUUUUUAGCGGCUUGUACAGAGAUCUGAAUUGGUUAUAGUAGUCUAUUGAUGCAACGCUCGACUUGAAUCAGUUUGUUUUUUGAUAAAAAAGGAAGAACUAACGAUGUCAUUUAUCCAUGAUGCUGAUUUGCA
rnacentral:lncRNA from 1 species